rnacentral:lncRNA from 1 species
GCUUGUGGGGCCAAUCAUUUAAAAGAUGGGGCUGCAAUAACGCCCACACGUUUGACAGGAGCAACAACAACCCAGAGGCCUAAUAGUCACAGGUUGUGACAUGUCAUUGCAUGCAUGUACAAGUGACGGAAUUAAUGACGUCAUUCGAAUUUUUUUGUCUUUUUAGUUUUAAAAAUGUUUUAUUUCUUAAUCAAAAAAUCUAAUUGGAAAAUUGUUUUUAUCAUUAAAUCCGUCACAGUUGAGAUGUUUGAAACUAGAUCUCAUGUCGAUAUGUUUCGACGACUUUUUUUAUUAAAAGUUGUCACGUUCAUUGCGCAUAAAUUGCCAUCGUAAUUAUACUAAAGUUGUCAUGAUAUGUUUCAACUACUUUUUUUAUGUUUAAAGUAAACUUUGACUUGUUAUAAAAAGGAAAUUAACAAAUUAAACUUGGCAUGAUGAAUUACUGAGAUUUUUCAUGAUCCAUGAAAUAAUUUUGACAUGGUUCAAAGUAAAAAAAGAAAUAUGCCGUUAAUUAGUUUAAAAAUUCAUGAUCACUGGUUCAAAUUUGUCAUGAACCAUAAAUUUCGUCAUGGUGAAUUACUUAAAUUGCCAUGAUACAUGCACUAAUAUUUAUCAUGGUUCAUACAAAAAAUAUUUUUCAUGUUCAAUAUACUUAAAUUGUCAUGGUCAAAAUAAUAAAUUUGUCAUGAUCUAUAAACUCAAUUUGCCAUGAUGAAUUACUAAAAAUUGCCAUGAUCCAUGAGUUGCAUUUUCCAUGGUUAAUUACCAAAAUUUGCCAUGGCCAAUUAAUAAAAAUCACCAUGAAAAGUAAUUGAAAUAUUGUGAUAGCUUUAAAUCUAGAAGAAAAAAUUAGAUGAAGCAUGACGUGGCAACUUUAUUGUAAACACUAUGGUAACUUUAGUGUAAACAUGUGGCAACUUGUGGCCCAAAAAAAGUUGUCGAAACAUACUAAUAUGAGAUCUAGUUUUGAAGAUCUCGUCGAGAAGGAUUUAAUGGUGAAAAAAAAAUUUAAUUGGAUUUUUUUGUUAAGGAGAUAAAACAUGUGUGGUUAUGAAGGCGUGUGGACCAUGUUGUGACAAGACGGAUGGUUAUGAAGGCGUGUGGACCAUGUUACCUCGUGCCAAAUGUAUGGGCGUUACUAUUUCUGUAAAAAGAUUGGUUGGGUUGCAAGCCGUUAGAUCUGACGCGUCAAGUGGCCAAGCGGUGCCUCCACCAUUGCAACAGAAGUUUNNNNNNNNNUUUCUUUUGCAAUAGAGGUCCUGUUGCGGAUUUUUCUUUGCAAUAAAGGUUUUGUUAUAGUUUUUUUUGCAACAUAGGUGAUGUUGCAAAAGCUUGUCUAAGUUGUUGUUGUUGAGCAUUGUUGUUCUUUGCCGUCGUUUGCAACACGUUGCUUUUGCAAAAAACGACAAUAAGACCUUUGUUGCAAAAAUAAUAAUCUAUUGGUCGGUGGUGGCUGCUGGAGAUUG